rnacentral:rRNA from 1 species
GACGAACGCUGGCGGCGUGCUUAACACAUGCAAGUCGAACGGAAAGACCCUGCUUUUGUGGGGUGUUCGAGUGGCGAACGGGUGAGUAACACGUGAGUAACCUGCCCUUGACUUUGGGAUAACUUCAGGAAACUGGGGCUAAUACCGGAUAGGAGCUCCUGCUGCAUGGUGGGGGUUGGAAAGUUUCGGCGGUUGGGGAUGGACUCGCGGCUUAUCAGCUUGUUGGUGGGGUAGUGGCUUACCAAGGCUUUGACGGGUAGCCGGCCUGAGAGGGUGACCGGCCACAUUGGGACUGAGAUACGGCCCAGACUCCUACGGGAGGCAGCAGUGGGGAAUAUUGCACAAUGGGCGGAAGCCUGAUGCAGCAACGCCGCGUGCGGGAUGACGGCCUUCGGGUUGUAAACCGCUUUCGCCUGUGACGAAGCGUGAGUGACGGUAAUGGGUAAAGAAGCACCGGCUAACUACGUG